AGAGUUUGAUCCUGGCUCAGGAUGAACGCUGGCGGCGUGCCUAACACAUGCAAGUCGAACGAAGCUUGAGAAAUGAUUUCUUCGGAAUGAAUUUUGAUAUGACUUAGUGGCGGACGGGUGAGUAACACGUGAGCAACCUGCCUUUCAGAGGGGGAUAACGGCUGGAAACGGUCGCUAAUACCGCAUGAUGUAUCGAAAUGGCAUCGUUUUGAUACCAAAGGAGCAAUCCGCUGAAAGAUGGGCUCGCGUCUGAUUAGAUAGUUGGUGGGGUAACGGCCUACCAAGUCGACGAUCAGUAGCCGGACUGAGAGGUUGAACGGCCACAUUGGGACUGAGAUACGGCCCAGACUCCUACGGGAGGCAGCAGUCGGGAAUAUUGAGGACGACGGUUUUCGGAUUGUAAACUCCUUUUCUUUGUGAAGAAUUCUGACGGUAGCAAAGGAAUAAGCAUCGGCUAACUACGUGCCAGCAGCCGCGGUAAUACGUAGGAUGCAAGCGUUAUCCGGAUUUACUGGGUGUAAAGGGAGCGCAGGCGGGACAUCAAGUUGGAUGUGAAAUGUCAAGGCUUAACCAUGGCACUGCAUCCAAAACUGUAGUUCUUGAGUGGAGUAGAGGUAAGCGGAAUUCCGAGUGUAGCGGUGAAAUGCGUAGAUAUUCGGAGGAACACCAGUGGCGAAGGCGGCUUACUGGGCUCUAACUGACGCUGAGGCUCGAAAGUGUGGGGAGCAAACAGGAUUAGAUACCCUGGUAGUCCACACUGUAAACGAUGAUAGCUAGGUGUGGGGGGUCUGACCCCUUCCGUGCCGGAGUUAACGCAAUAAGCUAUCCACCUGGGGAGUACGAUCGCAAGAUUGAAACUCAAAGGAAUUGACGGGGGCCCGCACAAGCAGUGGAUUAUGUGGUUUAAUUCGAAGCAACGCGAAGAACCUUACCAGGUCUUGACAUCCGACUAACGAAAUAGAGAUAUAUUAGGUGCCCUUCGGGGAAAGUCGAGACAGGUGGUGCAUGGUUGUCGUCAGCUCGUGUCGUGAGAUGUUGGGUUAAGUCCCGCAACGAGCGCAACCCCUGCCAUUAGUUGCUACGCAAGAGCACUCUAAUGGGACCGCUACCGACAAGGUGGAGGAAGGUGGGGACGACGUCAAAUCAUCAUGCCCCUUAUGACCUGGGCUACACACGUAAUACAAUGGCCGUUAACAAAGGGAAGCAAUAUGGUGACAUGGAGCAAAACCCCAAAAACGGUCUCAGUUCGGACUGUAGGCUGCAACCCGCCUACACGAAGUUGGAAUUGCUAGUAAUCGCGGAUCAGCAUGCCGCGGUGAAUACGUUCCCGGGCCUUGUACACACCGCCCGUCACACCAUGGGAGUUUGUAACACCCGAA
rnacentral:rRNA from 1 species